GUAAAAGAUGUGCAUGAUGGAAAACAUGGAGAUAUUUUUGAUAUUAAUAAAGAAUUAGGACUGGAUCUUUUUGAAGGAGAUAUAAAAAUGGAUUUGAGUCAAGACAGAAAUUCCAUUGUUGGUGACAAGUACAGAUGGCCGCUAGUAGUUCCAUAUUAUC